CUACGGAGGGUGCAAACGUUGUUCGGAAUUACUGGGCGUAAAGCGCGCGUAGGCGGUUUGUUAAGUCAGAUGAGAAAGUCCACAGCUCAACUGUGGAAGUGCAUUUGAAACUGGCAGACUUGAGUACUGGAGGGGGUGGUGGAAUUCCCGGUGUAGAGGUGAAAUUCGUAGAUAUCGGGAGGAAUACCGGUGGCGAAGGCGACCACCUGGCCAGAUACUGACGCUGAGGUGCGAAAGCGUGGGGAGCAAACAGGAUUAGAAACCCUAGUAGUCC
rnacentral:rRNA from 1 species